rnacentral:sRNA from 1 species
AGAAUGGCUCUCGUUGAGUGCAUAGCACCAGCGUGUGUCAUGUCUUGGCUGCGUUUCUGGGGCCCAUGGCCCCUCCUUACGUGGCAACUAUUGUGUCUACUAGUCAAGGAGGCUCAGCCUCUGGUGUGGGUCAAGGACCCGCUCCAGCUGACCUCUAACCCCUUGGGGCCACCUGAGCCCCGGUCUUCCCGCUCCUCCCAUCUCCCAUGGGAAUCUCCCCAUGCACCUGCUACCCCAGCAGCCCCGGGGGACUUUGAUUAUCUGGGGCCCUCUGCUUCUUCGCAGAUGUCAUCCCUGCCCCAGGAAUUGUCUGAAAAUUUGCCUCCAUUCCUGGACACGGAUUCAGCUGGAGAGCUGCCCCUGGGGCCAGAGCAGUUCUUGGUUGCACAUCAGGAUGUAAAUGACAAGCUGACUCCGCAAGAAAGGCUCCCAGAGGUGGUUCCACUGCUGGACCGGGAUCAGAACCAGGCCCUAGUUCAGCUUCCUCGCCUCAAAAGUAAGGUUCAAACUGCAGAUCUAGAUCGGGCUGCAGGUCAUCAGGCAGAUGAAAUACUUGUUCCACUAGACAGUAAGGUUCCAAAACCAACCAAAUUUGUUGUUUCGCCCAAGAACCUGAAGAAAGAUCUAGCUGAGCGUUGGAGCCUUGCUGAGAUUGUUGGGAUUCCACACCAAUUAUCCAAACCUCAGCGUCAGAAGCAGACUUUGCAGGAUGAAUAUUCGAGUAUGGACACACUGUAUCCUGGCAGCCUGCCUCUGGAACUCCAGGUGAAUGCAGAUGAGCCUCCAGGGCCUCCUGAGCAAGUUGGACUUUCUCAAUUCCAUCUAGAGCCCAAAAGUCAAAAUCCAGAGACCCUUGAAGACAUCCAGUCCUCUUCACUCCAGGAAGAAGCCCCAGCGCAGCUUCUACAGCUCCCUCAGGAGGUAGAAACUUCAACCCAGCAGGAGGCCCCAGCUCUGCCUCCAGAGUCCUCUAUGGAGAGUCUAGCUCAAACUCCACUGAAUCAUGAGGUGACAGUUCAACCUCCAGGUGAGGAUCAAGCUCAUUAUGACUUGCCCAACAUUACAGUCAGACCUGCAGAUGUGGAGGUUACCAUGACUUCAGAGCCCAAAAGUGAGACAGAAUCUUCCCAAGCCCAGCAGGAGGCCCCAAUUCAGCCUCCAGAGGAAGUGGAACCUUCUUCUACAGCCCUGAUGACUACAGCUCCUCCUCCAGAACACCCUGAGGUGACACUUCCACCUUCAGACAAGGGUCAGGCUCAGCAUUCACACUUGACUGAAGCCACAGUUCAACCUCUGGUCCUGGAGCUUAGCAAAACUACGGAGCCUACUACAGAGAUUAAACCAUCUCCAACCACGGAGGAAACCUCAGCUCAGCCUCCAGACCCGGGGCUUGCCAUAACUCCAGAACCCACUACAGAGAUUGGACAUUCCACAGUCCUGGAGAAGACUACAGCUCCUCAUCCAGACCAGGUUCAGACUCUACAUCGAAGCCUGACUGAAGUCACAGGUCCACCUACAAAGUUAGAAUAUUCGCAGGGUUCAUUGGUGCAGUCUGAAACUGCACCAGAGGAACAGAUGGCCUCCACAAGCACCAACAUAUGUGAGCUCUGUACCUGCGGAGAUGAGACUCUGUCAUGUGUUGAUCUCAGCCCAAAGCAGAGGCUCCACCAAGUGCCUGUGCCAGAGCCCAACACCUACAAUGGCAUCUUCACCACCUUAAAUUUCCAAGGAAACUAUAUUUCAUAUAUUGAUGGAAAUGUAUGGAAAGCAUACAGUUGGACCGAAAAAUUAAUUCUCAGUGAAAAUUAUUUGACUGAAUUACAUAAGGAUUCAUUUGAAGGCCUGCUAUCCCUCCAGUAUUUAGAUUUAUCCUGCAAUAAAAUACGGUAUAUUGAAAGACAUACAUUUGAAUCACUACCAUUUUUGCAGUAUAUAAAUCUGGGUUGCAAUUUAAUUACGGAACUGAGCUUUGGAACAUUUCAGGCCUGGCACGGAAUGCAGUUUUUACACAACUUGAGCUGAUAGCCCAGGAGACUGACAUGUAGACAGGUGGUUACAUGCAGUGUAACGAAGGCUGUGAUGUCAUACAAGAAGACAAGUGGGAAAUUCUCAGUCGCAAUCCUCUGACUGCUGUCGAAGAUCCAUAUCUCUUUGAACUGCCGGCAUUAAAAUAUCUAGACAUGGGAACAACGCACAUCACACUUACAACACUUAAGAACAUUCUCAUGAUGACUGUUGAACUGGAAAAACUGUAAGUUAUUUUUUUCUUAGAUUUAUUUUUAAUUAGUUGGUUUUUUAGGUUUGUUUUAUUGUUUUCUUAAGUCUUAAAUUAUAUUGAGAUAUAAUUUUCAUAUAACAUUCACCCUUUAUAAGUGUAUAGUUUGAUGAAUUUUGACAAAUGUAUAGUUACAUAACCACCACCACAUUCCCAAUAUAAAGCAUUUCUGUCACCUCAG